rnacentral:rRNA from 1 species
AUCCUGGCUCAGAUUGAACGCUGGCGGCAGGCCUAACACAUGCAAGUCGAAUGGUAACAGGAAACAGCUUGCUGUUUCGCUGACGAGUGGCGGACGGGUGAGUAAUGUCUGGGAAACUGCCUGAUGGAGGGGGAUAACUACUGGAAACGGUAGCUAAUACCGCAUAACGUCGCAAGACCAAAGAGGGGGGACCUUCGGGCCUCUUGCCAUCAGAUGUGCCCAGAUGGGAUUAGCUAGUAGGUGGGGUAACGGCUCACCUAGGCGACGAUCCCUAGCUGGUCUGAGAGGAUGACCAGUCACACUGGAACUGAGACACGGUCCAGACUCCUACGGGAGGCAGCAGUGGGGAAUAUUGCACAAUGGGCGCAAGCCUGAUGCAGCCAUGCCGCGUGUAUGAAGAAGGCCUUCGGGUUGUAAAGUACUUUCAGCGGGGAGGAAGGGAGUAAAGUUAAUACCUUUGCUCAUUGACGUUACCCGCAGAAGAAGCACCGGCUAACUCCGUG